AGCCCAUUGAGACAACUAUUGUUGUAAUAUUUAACUAAAUAAAAUAGAAUUGAAUUGAAUUCAAACACAUUUUUUAGAUUUACACUGUGGUUCUUUAACACUAAAGCCUCAUUUCAACUGCGCGGUCCAGUCUAGUCCGGUUUAAAAGGAUUCAUGCAGGUACGUGAGCGUUUUCCAAUCAAAGUUGGACCGUCAUGGCACAUGGGGGGUGAAGCUAACGACAACAACAAUAGAAGUCAUCCAGAAGCUCAUUUUUUCUCGCUUGGCUUUUGGUUCUUCGUAUCUCAAAGAAUUUUAAUGUUGUUUCAUGUUUCCUUUUGUAACCUAAAGUUCUUUUCCUUCAUUAUUUGUGUGUGACAUUAUUCUUUUGUAAUGUUUUUAGAGGUUUUGCCACAACCCAAUUUAUAAAAAGAUCUGUGGCUCUUAAAAUGAACCUGCGGCUCCUCACGAGCGAACCGUGUCUCUGAGCAGAGCAGCCGGACUCGUAGCUCCGUGUUCGCAGGGAGGGGAGGGUGCUUUUUUACGCUGUGCGGCCCAGAGAAGGGUUCGGACCGCAGCCCAUCCGGCUGUUUUUUUCGUGAGUGAGCGGCAUCACUCAGGAGAACCGUGUCUCCCAGGAGAUGUGUAUCUCCAAGCAGAGAGGCGGCUUUGGGACAGUGACAGUGACAUGUGGAGGAGGCUUUUGAACAGUCCUGAAAAACCGUGCAAUAUAAAUUUAAGCUUAAUUUUCUUUAUACAUGUCCUCAAUCAUGAAAAAAUAAGAACAUGUUUAAAAACAUGAUUUUCAUCCAAGUGGGACUUAAAAGUAAUAUCAUUUUUAACUAAUAACAUAAAACGACAACCAGUUUAAUGUGAACCUUUGAAAGGCUUAGUUGUUUUUUUGAAAAAUAUCUGUUGUUUGAUCAGGUGACUGAAAAGAUGCAGUGAUGGAAACGGAAUGCCUUCCCUUCAAAGCAACUUGUCUCCUGAUGCAGAGCUGACAGGUUUGGAUCAAUAGCCCACUACCCCGUUUGCCCCCUGCAGACAUUUCUGUCUCCUUCUCACUAGCUCACCUGAAGAGAGGACAGGAGACUGAAGGGCAGCUCAUACAUUAAGUCCUGAAAGGAGUUAUGGGGUUUGGGGGUAACAGAGGGACGGAAUUCAAUGACAAAUUCCCCUUAACACAGGCUUACUUUGUGUUUAAUUGCAAUGUAUUGAUUUUUCUCCUUUCCUUUUUUUGCUCUUUGUACAGGCAUCAGAUGACUAAGGUGGCCAUUGAAGUCAAAUGUCGUAUAUUCUUCCUUUUCCAGCCUUUGUCCCUUCACCAUCCUCCCAAACACCUCGAGUUUCACACAGGUUUUUGUAAGCAGUCUUCUUCUCCUGGAAUGAUGUUAACAAAUACACCCUUAAGAAUGAUUUAUUGAAAGUUUGCAUAUAAAGUGCAAACUUGAAUGCAUUUCAACAUAAUUGUCAUGGUGCCUCUGUUAGCUCUCCUCCCCCCUCCCCUCUCUGCUUGGUUCCUAAUUCGACUCAGCUGUGACCAUUCACCUCAACAACCUGCCAACCUUCAAAAGGAGAUUUAGAACCAGUAUUCAUCGCCAGUUCGUUGCCACUGAUGUUUUGCCUUGUCAUCAGGACUUACUAUCCAGAGUGGUCACCUGAGUUUCCCAGCUUCCUGAGCAGAAGGACCUCCUAGCUUCAUCCUGUCUUGCCACGCGCCAUUGCUGAACCUCCAGUCAUGCCACGUGCCAUUGCUGAACCUCCAGUCACGCCACGAGCCAUCAUCCAGCUCCCUGCUCCGCCACAACUCCAAGCCAAAUCGGAUAAUAAUAAACUUUAUUACUUACCUCAUAACUCACCUGUGUUUUCCUUCCGAGUUCCAGCGUCUGGGUCUGCCUCGCCUAGCUUGCCAUGACAGAAAGAACUGGCUCAAUUCCAGACCCAGCUGACUCGGAAGGACUCCGCCACACAGUCUCGCAGCAAGGAACAUUCUUGGAACUACUCUCCAACGCCGUUUCUGGGAUUGCUACUAUUCAAGAGGAUCUUAUUUCACGACUUAACAGUAUCUCACAAACUUUGAAAGAAAUAACUGGUCGUAUGUUUAUUCCCACUGUUUCAGGUCCACUUCAAACUUCCAGCAACAAUCCUGUUAUCACUUCCGCCACGUCACCGGAAAACUUCCGACUCCAGCCGGAACCCUUCCUCGCAGAUGUUCAAGCCUGUGGAGGUUUCCUAUUACAACGUCAAUUAAUCUUCCAGCAAGCACCCAGAACCCCUGGAUAUUCCCAUCGAAGCCUCAGGAUUAGGCGGCCAACAUCUCUCACGCAUCACUCAUCGCACUAAACCCGUUCUUCUGAUCACGUCCGGUCCUGAGAAGUCUUCCAUGGAAAGCUAGAUUCAGGAGGCUUUAUCUCUGGGACAUUUUCGACCGUCCUCCUCUCCGAUGGGCGCUGGGUUUUUCUUAGUGGAGAAAAAGGAUAAAACAUUACGUCCAUGCAUCGAUUACCCUCUCUUCCCCUUCCCUUCUCUGCUUGGCUCCUGAUGCGACACAGCUCUUACCACUCACCUCAUCACCUGCCUGCCUACUUAAGAAGAUCCUGGAACAGCAUUCUUCGCCAGACAUCAUUCCCACGAGUGGUCACCUGUGUCUUCGUCUCUCACGGAUCCAAACAUCAGAGAACCUUCCAGUCACGCCUCAAGCCUCAGCUUACCUCCAGUCUCGCCACGA